GGAAGAGGGAGGAGGGUGGGGACCGGCGGGAGCCACUGCGGUCCCUCCAGCCUUCUGGAGGCACGGCCACGGAGCUGCUGGCCAGGGACGCCCUCCUUCUCCUCCUCCCCUCCAAGGACCCUAGCCACUGCUGCGCGCCCCUCCCCGGGGAUGCUCGGCUGUGAUGGAAGCUUUGGAACGGGGCGCCCACCGUGGGUGGGGUAGGGGGGGCGCGGCGGGAGGUUGGCCGGUUCUCGGCCCGCCUUUCUCCAAGCCGCCCAGACCCGUCUUCUUCUUCUUCUCCCCCUGGCGGCAGCCGGGCUCCAACCGGGCGCACUUGGGGAGCCCCGAGCCGAGCCGAGCCCGAGCCACCGCCGCCGCCGCUGUUACACCGUCACCGCCACCAGGGAGGUGGCAAGGGAAGGACUCCUUGUCCCCCCACCCCCCACAAUCACCACCAGCAGCGCGCCUGUGUGUGUGUGUGUGUGUGUGUGUGUGUGUGUGUGUGUGUGUGUGCGCGCGUGUGUGUAAAAGAAGAUCGGACCCUCGGCCUGGAGGGAGAUGUGUGGGCAGCCGGCGAGGAUGCGCCCCCCGGGAUGCCUGGAGACCCUGUCCCCUCACCUGCCCGGGUCCCUACCGUGCGCACCCGCCGCUGCCUCUUCGGGUCGGUCCUUUGGGCUCGGCCCUGGGGGUGCGGAGAGCCGGGGACCCGUGUGUGUGCCCGCCGAGGAGGAAGUCAGGAAGUUCCUGGAAAGUGGCCGUGGGCUGAGGAUUCUCCCUCUGUUCGGUCCUCUGGUCUGAUGCCGUGAAUUAAGCUGCCUAUCUUAUCCGAUUCCAGCCUUGGUAACAAACACAUCUACUGUGCUGGGAUUUGGUGUGUUUGCUAAAUAAAAGAAAAUUAACAUAGGGUGUGCACCCCUACAGUUUCCUCGAAUUCCAGUCCCCACUUUCUACCCUUGGAUUCACUGGAACUUACCCAUUUUUUUUCCCUAGUCAUCACUAUUUUAGGCAAGACACAAUUCCAAAGGCACAGGUUAUCAAUUAUAAAUUCAUGUUCUUUUAGGAACUAGCCCUUUCUUUGUAAAGAUUCAGGUUACCCCAUCUCAACUCAUAGUUCUGGAAAGCGAAGUAAUAUAAUGUACUAAAUGAUUGCAAUGGGCAAAAUAAAUCGAAAUUAAGGUUAA